AGAAAAAAAAAAAAAAAGAGUUCAACGUGUGUGAAGAUCUGUUCUGUUUUACCUUCGCUUUUUUUUUUCAUUUUUCACCUU
rnacentral:ribozyme from 1 species